GAUGAACGCUAGCGGCAGGCUUAACACAUGCAAGUCGAGGGGCAGCAUAAUGGAUAGCAAUAUCUAUGGUGGCGACCGGCGCACGGGUGCGUAACGCGUAUGCAACCUACCUUUAACAGGGGGAUAACACUGAGAAAUUGGUACUAAUACCCCAUAAUAUCAUAGAAGGCAUCUUUUAUGGUUGAAAAUUCCGAUGGUUAGAGAUGGGCAUGCGUUGUAUUAGCUAGUUGGUGGGGUAACGGCUCACCAAGGCGACGAUACAUAGAGGGACUGAGAGGUUAACCCCCCACACUGGUACUGAGACACCGACCAGACUCCUACGGGAGGCAGCCGUGAGGAAUAUUGGGCAAUGGACGCCAGUCUGAACCAGCCAUGCCGCGUGCAGGAUGACGGCUCUAUGAGUUGUAAACUGCUUUUGUACGAGGGUAAACGCAGAUACGUGUAUCUGUCUGAAAGUAUCGUACGAAUAAGGAUCGGCUAACUCCGUG
rnacentral:rRNA from 1 species